rnacentral:rRNA from 1 species
AACUGCAGUCGAGCGGACAGAAGGGAGCUUGCUCCCGGAUGUUAGCGGCGGACGGGUGAGUAACACGUGGGUAACCUGCCUGUAAGACUGGGAUAACUCCGGGAAACCGGAGCUAAUACCGGAUAGUUCCUUGAACCGCAUGGUUCAAGGAUGAAAGACGGUUUCGGCUGUCACUUGCAAUGGACCCGCGGCGCAUUACUAGUUGGUGGGGUAAUGGCUCACCAAGGCGACGAUGCGUAGCCAACCUGAGGGGUGA